CCUUUGAGUGUAAAAAGAAAAGCUCUCGUUAUUACAGUGUAGUUGCCGGUACUCGUGUAGACGACUGUGUCUCAGCUUCCUGUUUAAGCCGACAUGGGCAACUGCUGUACGACCUGCUGCAGGCAAAAGUCUGGACAGACCAGGGAGGACGUGGAAACAGGUCAGACAGAAACUGCUGUCCUACCCCGAUCUUCCAGAUUGAGUGAUGGCGA